rnacentral:rRNA from 1 species
UACGUAGGGGGCAAGCGUUGUCCGGAUUUAUUGGGCGUAAAGCGCGUGUAGGCGGUUCGGUAGGUCUGGUGUGAAAAUUCGGGGCUCAACCCCGUGUGGUCAUCGGAAACCAUCGAACUAGAGUCCGGAAGAGGAGAGUGGAAUUCCUGGUGUAGCGGUGAAAUGCGCAGAUAUCAGGAAGAACACCAAUGGCGAAAGCAGCUCUCUGGGACGGUACUGACGCUGAGACGCGAAAGCGUGGGGAGCGAACAGG